GGGGCGAGGUUCCUUGUUAGUGGUAUCGAUUGUAAUGUCCCCGGGUAGUACCCCUAGUAGAUUUGUUUGUUCUUUUUAUUUUAUGCAUCAUCAUGCAUCAUGCAUCAUAUCAUCCAUGUUUUUAAUAAAAUAAAAUUAUUUUUAUAAACCCUAGUUAAUUUGUUUCCUUCUCAUAUGGUUUAAUAAAACCCAUCUUUUCUUUUCUUAAAACAAAACCCCUCUUCUGGGCCUCUCUCUCUGGCUUUCUCUCUCUAGCCCAGCUCCCUUCUUCUCUUUCUCCUGGCCCAUCCUCUUCUCUUUCUUUUCUCUUCCACCGCACCAGCCCAGCCCAGCUAGCCUUUCUUUCUUUUUCCUUCUGGUCUGGCCCAACCCGCAUACCCUUUCACUUCUUUCCCCUUCUCCUUUUUCGCCAGGAAAGCGACAGGAGCACGAGAGAGACGUGCUCGCUGUGCUGCACCACCGAGGCCCCCCUCCACCUGCUCCCCUCCCCUUUUAAUCUCCAUCCGAGCCAGGAAAACCCUAGCCCUCUUCCCUCUGGCCGCCGCCACUCUCUCCUUUCACCCCCACCUUCCUUUUUCGUUUCUCUGUAAGCAAACGAAGAAGCACCACCGCCACCUCCUCGCCAUGGUGCCGCCACUUCCGGCCGCCCCUCUUCGUUCUGAGAGCACCACGAGAACCGCCUCUUCUCCCUGAUCAUCCUCGUGCAAGGAAUCGAGCCGGGGCUCUCCCAAUCGACGGGAAAAUCGCCGAUUCCGCCUCCAACUCCGGCGAGAAAUUCGUCAAUUCCGGCCGGCCUAGUCUUUCCUCGGCCGUCCCACCACCCGUAGCUGAGCCGCAACGCCAAGAGGCACCCUCGACGCCAUCUGUCUCGUCCCGGUUCGCCCCCCUCCGACCAAGCCAUGGUCGACCAGGGACUUUCGCCAUGGCCGUGUUUGCCCGAGCUCCGCCUCUGCUUGCUUCUUAUUGUUCCGCGCCUUUCUCCGGUCAACAUAGCAAGAAACAACUUAGUGAUCUCGCGCAAAGAGGAGCUUCUUGAGGCUUAGGGCCUUUCCAUUUUCAACAUCAGGCACAUAGCCCAACUGAGCUGGCGUUCGAUGGGCCUCAGCCCAGUUUGAUCCGGUGCAGCCUACCGUCCGCGCGCUUCCAGAAGCUAUCCGCCGCCAUCUCACCUCAGGUCCGGCCCAGUUCGUCCCCCUCCAUGUUUCCUUUUUCUUAAAAUUCCAGAAAAUGCUUUAUCUUGUAAAAUCAAUAUCUUUAAAUCUAUAACUCGGAACAAAAAGUUUUGUAUAUGAAAAUUGAUCAGAAAAAUAUGAGGAACAUGAAUAUGCCAUCAAUACAUCUGUUAGCAUCUCGCAUCAUGACGCGUCGUGAUAGUUUUGCAUGUUCACCUAACAUAUAUGCGGAGUAUUUUGGAUACCGACUACGGUUUUCCCUGCUCCGUUUAACUUUGAAGUAGCGCACCCCUGCCAUGAUAUGCCAUGUUAAUCAACACUUAAAUUUGCCGGUAGAAAAUGCAACUCCAACUCUAAUUUGAUUGUCCGGGGUUCCGACUCCGCUUAAUAUGGAUAAGAUGCAUUACACCAUCUAUGCCAUGUCAUGCAUAUCAUCAUGAACAUGCUGGAUCUUCUUUAUCCGUAGUUGUAAGACUUGCAUAC